CAGCAGCCGCGGUAAUACGUAGGGGGCUAGCGUUGUCCGGAAUCAUUGGGCGUAAAGCGCGCGUAGGCGGCCCGGUAAGUUCGCUGUGAAAGUCCAGGGCUCAACCCUGGAAUGCCGGUGGAUACUGUCGGGCUAGAGUCCGGAAGAGGCGAGUGGAAUUCCUGGUGUAGCGGUGGAAUGCGCAGAUAUCAGGAGGAACACCAAUAGCGAAGGCAGCUCGCUGGGACGGUACUGACGCUGAGGCGCGAAAGCGUGGGGAGCGAACAGGAUUAGAUACCCUGGUAGUCCACGCCGUAAACGAUGGGCACUAGGUGUGGGAGGUGUCGACUCCUCCCGUGCCGACGCUAACGCAUUAAGUGCCCCGCCUGGGGAGUACGGCCGCAAGGCUAAAACUCAAAGGAAUUGACGG
rnacentral:rRNA from 1 species